rnacentral:misc_RNA from 1 species
GUCGAUCUCCACCUAGGUAUUUAUUGUGUUUUGUGCUAUUAAUAACUAAUGGCAUACACAUAUAGUUUUGUGAUAGUUCACUGACUGUUUUACAUCCUCUCAAUGUCCGGUCAUUCUAUUAAUUUUAGGUUUCAAAUCUAUAUUUUUUGGGUAUUCUAUUGUGUACAUCCUGUUUGGGUCAGCUUGUCACCAUUUUGUAUUUUCUGCUACAAGGGUUGGCAAUACUGAGUUUGUCUUUACUAUUCUUUUUAUCCAUGCAAAGGCUGUCAAAAAAAAAAAAACACUGCUUAGGAAGGAGGUGAGAUUGGCCAUCUUAUAGCUAAUAACAUGGUUCGGAUGUACCUCCUCCUGAUAAUUAUAUCGGAGCCAUUAAAUUUAGAAUUACUAAAAUAAAUCUGCCCAAAAAUUCUUGGAUUCAUUCGCUCAUCUAAUGAGCAAAUGCAGAAGAUACCGACACAGAAGUCCAAGUAGAAGCAGUUCUCGAAGAUACCAUUCCCGCUCCCGUUCUCGGUCUCACUCUCAUUCUCGCUCACGCUCGCGCUCUCAUUCCCGCUCACCAAGGGUUAGAAGCCGUUCAAGGCACUCAUAGUUACGCUGGCAUGGAGAAAACUUAUACUUGAGCAUUACAUUCUCUUUAAAACUACCAGAGGGCCCUUUUUUUUUCUUAUAGAAAUUAUAUGAGCCUUUUUGUCAUAUCAUGUCAUAUAUUCUCUCUUUGAUUCCACUGCUUAAUUGCAUCUACCAAUUGUGUAUAUUGUGCAAGAAACAAUGAAAGAUUAAAAGUAAGUAGUAAGUAUGAAGAGAUCAUCGCAGAUGCAAUUGUGGAAAUUUAUGUUUUUAAUCAACAUUGGUGAAUGCUAAGUUAUGAGAUUGUGAGUUCACAGAAAAAUGAAAAACGAGCAAG